GCAGUCGUGGCCAAUGGUUAAGGCAAUGGACUAGAAAUCCAUUGGAGUCUCCUCGCACAGGUUCGAAUCCUGUCGACUGCG
rnacentral:tRNA from 2 species